ACUUUUUUAGUAUAUAUAAACAUUAUUAUUGACUUCCAAUCAAUAGAACUUAAAAAGAAAAAGUA
rnacentral:tRNA from 1 species